rnacentral:rRNA from 1 species
AAGCGGCAACAGCUCAAAUUUGAAAUCUGGCGCCCCCGGCGUCCGAGUUGUAAUUUGCAGAGGAUGCUUCGGCGCAGGCGCCGCCCAAAGUUCCUUGGAACGGGACGUCGCAGAGGGUGAGAGCCCCGUGUUCGGGCGGAUGCCUUCGCCGUGUGAAGCUCCUUCGACGAGUCGAGUUGUUUGGGAAUGCAGCUCAAAACGGGAGGUAAAUUUCUUCCAAAGCUAAAUACCGGCCGGAGACCGAUAGUGCACAAGUAGAGUGAUCGAAAGAUGAAAAGCACUUUGGAAAGAGAGUCAAACAGCGCGUGAAAUUGUUAAAAGGGAAGCGCUUGCGGUCAGAACUUGGCCGCCGUUGCUCGGGGGGGCCCUCGCGCCCCCCUCGCUCUUCGGCGGCUGGGCCAGCAUCGGUUCGGGCGGCUCGAGAAAGGCCGCGGGAACGUAGCUCCCUCCGGGGAGUGUUAUAGCCCGCGGCGCAAUGGAGCCCGCCUGGACCGAGGUCUGCGCAUCCGCUCGGAUGCUGGCGUAAUGGCCCCAAGCGGCCCGUCUUGAAACACGGACCAAGGAGUCUAACAUUCGUGCGAGUGUUCGGGCGUCAAACCCGUACGCGCAAUGAAAGUGAACGUAGGUGGGAGCCUCUCGCAGGCGCACCAUCGACCGAUCCUAAUGUCUUCGGAUGGAUUUGAGUAUGAGCACGGAUGUUGGGACCCGAAAGAUGGUGAACUAUGCCUAAGCAGGGCGAAGCCAGAGGAAACUCUGGUGGAGGCUCGCAGCGGUUCUGACGUGCAAAUCGAUCGUCGAAUUUGGGUAUAGGGUACGUUGUCACUUUGAAAUCCCCCCGUUCCGCGACCAAUGCUAACACUUCUCUCUAGGGCGAAAGACUAAUCGAACCAUUAACCGGGCCCCGGCGCCGCCGGGGCCGCUACUAGGUGGUUAAGAGGCGGCUAAAAGGGCGCGCCUAGUCCCUCCGUUCGGGGCGACACCGUCAAAUUGCGGGGACCUCCUUAGAGCUUGAGCUACCGCGGCCCGCCGAAAGGCAGGGUGCAGCACCGGGGUAACGACCUAGGGGAUGGUAAAAACGCUCAAGAUUGGACGAUCCGCAGCCAAGUCCUACGUCCCCCCCGGAGGGGGGGAUACGGAUGCUGUUCACAGACUAAAUGGCGGUGGGUCGCCUGCCCCCGCGGCAGGCGGCUUAAGGUAUAGUCGAUCCCCGCGGAAACGCGGGCGGUGGGACGAAGCCGGCGGGUGGAUGGGCGACGCGCGAGCGACGCACCCGCCUGGCCCGAAUCCCNCCGGGGGAAGGGACGUGCCGU